GACGAACGCUGGCGGCGUGCCUAAUACAUGCAAGUUGAGCGAUGAAGAUUGGUGUUUGCACCAAUUUGAAGAGCAGCGAACGGGUGAGUAACGCGUGGGGAAUCUGCCUUUGAGCGGGGGACAACAUUUGGAAACGAAUGCUAAUACCGCAUAACAACUUUAAACAUAAGUUUUAAGUUUGAAAGAUGCAAUUGCAUCACUCAAAGAUGAUCCCGCGUUGUAUUAGCUAGUUGGUGAGGUAAAGGCUCACCAAGGCGAUGAUACAUAGCCGACCUGAGAGGGUGAUCGGCCACGUUGGGACUGAGACACGGCCCAAACUCCUACGGGAGGCAGCAGUAGGGAAUCUUCGGCAAUGGACGAAAGUCUGACCGAGCAACGCCGCGUGAGUGAAGAAGGUUUUCGGAUCGUAAAACUCUGUUGGUAGAGAAGAACGUUGGUGAGAGUGGAAAGCUCAUCAAGUGACGGUAACUACCCAGAAAGGGACGGCUAACUACGUG
rnacentral:rRNA from 1 species